rnacentral:rRNA from 1 species
AGGCAGCAGUGAGGAAUAUUGGACAAUGGGGGGAACCCUGAUCCAGCCAUGCCGCGUGUGUGAAGAAGGCCUUUUGGUUGUAAAGCACUUUAAGCGAGGAGGAGGCUCCUGUAGAUAAUACCUACAGUGAGUGGACGUUACUCGCAGAAUAAGCACCGGCUAACUCUGUGCCAGCAGCCGCGGUAAUACAGAGGGUGCGAGCGUUAAUCGGAUUUACUGGGCGUAAAGCGUGCGUAGGCGGCUGAUUAAGUCGGAUGUGAAAUCCCUGAGCUUAACUUAGGAAUUGCAUUCGAUACUGGUCAGCUAGAGUAUGGGAGAGGAUGGUAGAAUUCCAGGUGUAGCGGUGAAAUGCGUAGAGAUCUGGAGGAAUACCGAUGGCGAAGGCAGCCAUCUGGCCUAAUACUGACGCUGAGGUACGAAAGCAUGGGGAGCAAACAGGAUUAGAUACCCGAGUAGUCC